rnacentral:lncRNA from 1 species
CCGUACACCAGGGUGUGGGCUGUACACAAGAUCAGGGUCAAAUAACCCAGUUUGGACUAUAAACAAGAAACAAAAAUAUGAGCAGAAGAAAAUAUAUAAGAAGAGAUUUACCUGGGUAACGGUUAAGUUUCCCAAUCUCCAUCGUACAUAAUAUCGAAUAGGAAUCACAAGUGUGUAGAGGACAUGAAGGAAGGCAAAUCCCAGAGCUACCAAGCCAAGCUGCUUUCGGCAAAGCAUCCAGUGGUCAAGCCAGUCUGGGAAUCGACGGUAUUUUGUGCCUCGGUACAGUUGUAGAAUGGCAGCAAUAACACCAGGGAGGUAAACCAAAGCAAGCAGUUGCUCCUGACUGGAGAGCCCAGGCUGAGAUGGUGUUAAAUGCUUUUACCACGUGGGCUCCUGGCACCAAAUGAGCAAGAUCUCACCCCACAGGCCUUGGAAACCUGAGGCAGUAUUCUUCUGGGAUGUUUCCAACUAGGCUUCCCAUGAGGAUGUUAGAGCCAGCCUGGCUGGUGAAUUUUACUUCUCUCACCUCUCAGAGGGACAUGGAUGAAAUUGGAAAUCAUCAUUCUCAGUAAACUAUCGCAAGAACAAAAAACCAAACACCGCAUAUUCUCACUCAUAGGUGGGAACUGAACAAUGAGAACACGUGGACUCAGGAAGGGGAACAUCACACUCUGGGGACUGUUGUGGGAUGGGGGGAGUGGGGAGGGAUAGCAUUGGGAGAUAUACCUAAUGCUAGAUGACGAGUUAGUGGGUGCAGCGCACCAGCAUGGCACAUGUAUACAUAUGUAACUAACCUGCACAUUGUGCACAUGUACCCUAAAACUUAAAGUAUAAUAAUAAAAAAAAAUCUGUGAAGAACAGAGACAG